rnacentral:misc_RNA from 1 species
CAUCAUACAUGCAAGUCAGGUGGGACAAGCGCCAUUCAUAGAGUACACACGCACACAGAUACGUGGGUGGCGAGUUCGUGAUUGUGUCUGCGCGAGUCAGGCAUCGAUCCUCACGUACGCUAACGUCUAGCCGACGAAGAGCGCGAGCGGGGGGGGCCAUCAAGGCGCACAGAAACAGAUACUGCAACAUCAACACAGGAGAGGCUGUUUCAGUGUCUUUUUACUAUUUCUUUUGCGGAUGAGAAGCUCUGUAGUACGCGCGCACACGCAUCCGCACACAUUUUCUAUCGCACACCCGCUUCACUAGCGCGCAUACGGGUAGGCAUGAGCUCCCACAAUACAGCAAAGGAAGAAGCGAGAACGGGCGCGCACGUGGAAGGGGCCGGCCUCGACGGAGAAGCGUGCUGCGCUCCCCAUCAGCCGCUGCGCGUGCGGACCAUUGAGAUUCUGUGGCACUUCAAUGAACGCAACGAAGAAGCGGAGCUGCUGGGCCUGCAGAGCAGCGUGACGGAGGGCAUUACGAGCGUCGACUACAACCCUCGUUGCCAUCGCAUCGUCACCACCGGUGGCGAUGGCAACAUUCGCCUAUGGGAAGUGCGCGUCAAAGCGGUCGACGCUUGGCUAGAGAACAACGCAAACGACAUGCUGGCGUGCUGCCGCCACCUGUGCCGCAUGCGCACCUCCUGGAUGCCGCUCACAGCGCGGUGGUCGCCGCAAGGAGAGAUGAUAGCAAGCGCACACUGUGACGGCAAGGUGUGCCUGUGGUGGCGCGACCCUGCCGGUGGAUCAGCGGCCGCAGCAGCAUCGAGUGAUGAAGGCAGCUGCGGCAGUGGUCUACAAGGGACGUCUGGCGACUCUGACGGCGACGUAGAGGAAUGGAAGGCAUACCGCCACCUGACUGGGCACAUCAGCGAUAUAUACGACAUCUGCUUCUCCGCUGAUUCCCGCUACCUGCUGAGCGGCGCUGGUGAUGGCAGCAUCGUCAUUCACGAUCUGGAAGGCUCGACAAUGCCGGCGCUACAGCUCACCAACCUGCACGCGAAGUUCUGCCGCGGGGUCGCGUGGGAUCCAUGGACGCGGUUUCUUCACACCUUUGGCAGUGGGCCGUCACUGCUGUGCUUCACGCACGUGCCGAAGAGCGAGGGCCAGCACCGCCGCAUGCACCUCGCUGGCCAGCGCAAGUGCCAGGGGGACUACAUUGGCGAGUCAUGUGCCCUGUCGUACCGCCGCUUGUGUUGGUCGCCAGAUGGCUUGCUGCUCGCUGUGCCGUACGGCAAGCUGACGAGGGCUGGCCAGCAGCAGGCGCCAAGCACAGCGAACCUUCUGGCCUUCAUCGAGGCAAAGGAGAAGGCGGAAGCGACGUUGCGGGCAACAAAAGGCCAUCCGCAGGACACCUCGUUGCCCACGCACAUAACGGAGGCUUCCGGGGGCAAAAAACGCCACGGCGCGCCUGUGACAGCCAUUGCAGAUGCUGGCGACGAUGCGUUGGAUGGCAUGCUUCACUGCGUCUAUGUCUACACUCGAGGGGCGCCGGAUAAGAUCGCCUGUCGACUUGGGGUGCGCGGGUUCAGCGAAGUGCGUGGCGUGCUGUGGGCGCCGUGCUUCUUCGAGCCGCUGCCCGCCGACGAAGUGCUCGAAGGAUGCUCGCAGCAGCCCACGGCCCUUUCGACCACCGCAACGGCAGAGGCUCCGCCGUCGCAGCUGGCAGCGCUUGAAGCGGCGCGUCAGCGCCGCGGUGCCUGGGGGCCAGCAGAGUACCGCAUGGCGAUUGCCGUGUGGACCUCAGAUGCUGUCAUCGUCUACACCACAGACAGCAGCUCUCGCCACAGCGACUUCACCGACUUGCACAUGCGCAGUAUCACCGAUGUUGCUUGGAGUCACGACGCGUCCCACCUCUACACCGCCUCUCUUGACGGGUACAUCAGUGUCAUCGCGUUUGGCGAUUCCCUGACAGCGGCACAUCGACUACCGUACUUCUCGGCAUCGCCGGCGGUGCGCUCGCUGUGCGGGCUCCUGGAACGUAUUGAGCGAGUCGGCGUCAGCGUUGAGGCCGGUCGAAGCACCGGCGCAUUCUCCGCUGGAGCCGCGAGAGGGUACAGAAAGGCUGGAGGCGACGCCCCUGCCGGUGCAGCAGCAGCGGCGGUGACUAAGACCAGUGUAGCUGUGGUACGGAAGAAGAGGAAGGUAGAAAAAACGAGUGGUGAUCCCGCGGCACCGUCAGUGAUGGCCAAGAAGGCAGUUGAUAUGCAACAGCUGGAAGCCCUCAUCUCGGACAUCUGAGCGGGGAGGUCGUUCUUUGCGUGUGUGUGGGAGGAGCUGUGAUUGUGGAUGUCGCAAGCUGCGCGACCUACGCCCCUCCCCGGCCACCAGCCGAUCUCUUUCCCACCGCCACUCCUAAAGACGCCUCGCUUCUACAAGGCGCAUGUGCUACAUGUCAAUAUAGACAUGUACGGUAAUAUUUUACGUUGGGCUGAGAGGUGCUUGCGCAUGUAGCUGUCGUCGCCACUCGCUUCUCCUGUUCUUCUCGGAUGCGCGUUGUUAACAGGAGCGGAGUGGCACAGAAGCAUACCGGCACGCACGUGUCUUCCUUCUGUCCGUCGUAUCCUGUCGUUGCUUUGUGGCCUGUUCGCGAAGGUGUUAUCCUCGUGGAGUCCCGUCUUGAGUGCGGCAAAACAAAAAAAUGGGGCUGGCAAUGAGCCGGUAAAAGGUGCGCAUGCGUUGUGCGCAAGGAGGGGUCUUUGCUGCCACUCCUCAUACGUUUCCAGGCUGUCUCGCACCUUGCACCCCCACUUAGUGGCGGAGGUGGGCGGGGUCUGUCAUGCGCGGAGGGCAUAGCCUUUUCUCCUCUGUUUUAACGUUUUGUGCGACCCGUGGAGACCCCACAGCACGCGUGGGAUGAAGCUGCCCCCUCUUUCCGCAUGCCUUUACGCCAUCGUCUCGUCCCUUUUCUGGUUCAG